GACAGAGGGUGCAAACGUUGUUCGGAAUUACUGGGCGUAAAGCGCGUGUAGGCGGCUAAGUAAGUCGGGCGUGAAAUCCCACGGCUCAACCGUGGAAGUGCACUCGAAACUGCGUAGCUAGAGUCCUGGAGAGGAAGGUGGAAUGCUUGGUGUAGAGGUGAAAUUCGUAGAUAUCAAGCGGAACACCGGUGGCGAAGGCGGCCUUACUGGACAGUCGACUGACGCUGAGACGCGAAAGCGUGGGGAAGCAACAGGGA
rnacentral:rRNA from 1 species